UCCCAGUGUAAUGCAAAUAAGGAGAGCGGCUGGAGUGAAUGGAAAGCACCAUUACACUUUUAUGAAGAUGAACCUUGAUGAAGAUGAGCAAUGGAAAUGUGUCGUGGAAAGUCAGCGAUGCUAAGGAGCCAUGGCUGGAAGGUUCUGCCGAGGCAGCAGGUGUGGAGGCGGAGGCACCGAGGUGCCACACCUUGCACAGGCUCCCCAGUUUGUCUCUAGUGGAUCCUGCACUCCAUCAGUAAACCUUGUUUUGAACAUACUCUUCAUCCAUGUAAGAGAUGAAAAAAAAUAUUAAGAGAAGCUCUAAAAUGUUCUCCCUGCCCCUGCGGCCUUCAUUGUGUGUCCUGCUUCACACCGGGGCAUCUGGGAGCUGCAGAGACGGGGAAUAGGAAAAGCGAUUUCGGGGUCUAUUGGCUCAGGCUUGAACAGCGAAAGGGAGGUUGGAUAGGCGGAACUUGUAUAAAAAGGUUUAAGGGCUUUCUCAGUAAGAGGCUUAAUGAGGGCUAAUAUGUGCCAUCUAAUGUGGAGCAUCUAUUUUUAGGAAAGCUUGAUUUUGCUAAGUGUCUCUGAGAUGUUAGGAUUCAGACGGUAGGGCAAAUGAUGGCUUUGGAAUAAGGUGUUCUUAUGUAAAUCCCCGGGCUCUGCAGCCAAUGAGAUUACCCAUUCCAGUUACAAGGGGGAUAUGGGAGGGGGUGGAGGCCCCAAAGGGUGGGAUCAGGGGCCGGCUGUGGAGCCAGCUCUGCCCUGAAGGGGCUGAAGCCCACCCAGCCUGCAGCUGCUCCCUGCUGCGGGACAGCCCUGGAAGUUCUGCAGCUCCCAUCAAAGCCUUAGUGCAUCUUCUUGGAAACUUCUGCGCCGUGACAGUGGAGUGGAGAAAGAAGCAAAUGCGCAUACUGAAGCACAAAGGAAGAAAGAUGAGGCAGAGGUCCAAGCAAACCGCUAGCUUGUUGCACCUGUGGAGGCCCCAGGAACAGAAACAUGAGUGCCAGAGGCUGGGGAUGCUGGUACAAGUUGUUGAACUGCAUGCUACUGUCUAG
rnacentral:lncRNA from 1 species